CAGCAGCCGCGGUAAUACGAAGGGUGCAAGCGUUACUCGGAAUUACUGGGCGUAAAGCGUGCGUAGGUGGUGGUUUAAGUCCGUUGUGAAAGCCCUGAGCUCAACCUGGGAAUUGCAGUGGAUACUGGGUCACUAGAGUGUGGUAGAGGAUAGUGGAAUUUCCGGUGUAGCAGUGAAAUGCGUAGAGAUCGGAAGGAACAUCUGUGGCGAAGGCGACUAUCUGGGCCAACACUGACACUGAGGCACGAAAGCGGGGGGAGCAAACAGGAUUAGAUACCCCAGUAGUCCCUGUCUCUUAUAC
rnacentral:rRNA from 1 species